rnacentral:rRNA from 1 species
UACGAAGGGUGCAAACGUUGCUCGGAAUCACUGGGCGUAAAGAGCUCGUAGGUGGUUCGGUAAGUCGGAUGUGAAAUCUCCAGGCUCAACCUGGAGGGGUCAUUCGAUACUGCCGUGACUAGAGGUCGGUAGGGGAGUGUGGAAUUCCUGGUGGAGGCGGUGAAAUGCGCAGAGUAUCAGGAGGAACACCCGUAGCGAAGGCGGCACUCUGGGCCGAUACUGACACUGAGGAGCGAAAGCGUGGGGAGCGAACAGG